rnacentral:rRNA from 1 species
GGGCAACCCUGACGCAGCCUGCCGCGUGAAUGAAGAAGGCCUUCGGGUUGUAAAGUUCUUUCGGUGAUGAGGAAGGCUUAGAUGUUAAUAGCAUUUAGGAUUGACGUUAGUCACAGAAGAACACCGGCUAACUCCGUGCCAGCAGCCGCGGUAAUACGGAGGGUGCGAGCGUUAAUCGGAAUACUGGGGCGUAAAGGGCACGCAGCCGUGACUUAAGUGAGUUGUGAAAUCCCCCGGCUUAAACCUGGGAAUUGCCAUUUCAAACUGGGUCCCC